GAUGAACGCUGGCGGCGUGCCUAAUACAUGCAAGUCGAACGCAGCAGGAACGGGUGAGUAACACGUGGAUAACCUCCUAUAAGACUGGGAUAACUUCGGGAAACCAUAGCUAAACCGGAUACUUAUGUUUGGAUCCACGAUGCAUUAGCUAUUGGGUAAGGUAACGGCUGACCAAGGCAACGAUGCAUAGCCGACCGGAGAGGGUGAUCGGCCACACUGGAACUGAGACACGGUCCAGACUCCUACGGGAGGCAGCAGUAGGGAAUCUUCGGCAAUGGGCGAAAGCCUGACCGAGCAACGCCGCGUGAGUGAUGAAGGUUUGCGGAUCGUAAAACUCUGUUAUUAGGGAAGCGGUACCUAAUCAGAAAGCCACGGCUAACUACGUGCCAGCAGCCGCGGUAAUAC
rnacentral:rRNA from 1 species